rnacentral:rRNA from 1 species
UACGUAGGGUGCGAGCGUUGUUCGGAAUCAUUGGGCGUAAAGCGCGUGUAGGUGGUUGGGAAAGUUGGAUGUGAAAGCCCUGGGCUUAACUCAGGAAGUGCAUCCAAAACUACCCAGCUAGAGGGCGAGAGAGGGAGGUGGAAUUCCUAGUGUAGAGGUGAAAUUCGUAGAUAUUAGGAGGAAUACCGGUGGCGAAGGCGGCCUCCUGGAUCGCUCCUGACACUGAGACGCGAAAGCGUGGGUAG